GCCUACCUUUCUUCUCUCAUAUCUCAUCAUCUGCUGAACUUAGACUGAAUCAUGGCUGCAAAAUUUGAGGGUGGAACAUACCUCUCUUCCUUUGUUGAUGCUGUUCUGAACAGGUUGUCUUCGGUCAACUCAACCCCAAUAGCAAGUAAGCUAGCUGACCAGAAGUUGCUUCAAAGGAUGAAGGCAAGUCUUCGUGCCGUUCAAUGUGUGCUUGAUAAUGCUCAACAAAAGCAUAUCAAGGACCAAGAAGUCAAGAAAUGACUUGUUGACCUCCAAGAUUCUCUCUAUAUGGCUGAUGACUUGCUUGAUGAACUCUCCACUAAAGCUGCUAUUGCCACUCCCAUUCAAACGGAUCCGGGUAACUCUUCUUCCAGGGCUCACUAUGAUUAUUCAAUCUUAGAAGAUAGUGAUGAUGCUGAGAUGGGGAUAGUAAAUAGCUUGCAACACAUAGUUCAUAAAUUAGAGUCUCUUGUUAAAGAGAAAGAUGAUCUUGGUCUAAAACAAGAGCUUGUCAAAGAUGUGGAGGACAUGUCAUGGAGAAUUCAAUCAUCGAUGGUUGAAACUUCUAAGAUAUUUGGAAGGGAUAUUGACAAGAAAGCCAUAAUAGAAUUGUUGUUAGAUGAUACUUGUGAUGCUAACAUAUCUGUAUCCCCAUUGUUACUAUGGGAGGAGUUGGAAAAACUACCUUGGCUCAGCUGGUUUACAAUGAUGCCAGAGUGGAGGGAGAAUUUGACAUUAGAGCAUGGGUGUGUGUUUCCGACCAAUUUGACAUUGUUAAUGUUACAAAAAUCUUAAUAAAAGCUGCAGGAAAUUGUCAAAAAGUGCAAAGGGAUACCUUUGGCCGUAGAGGCCCUUGGUGCCUUGUUAUGAACAACAAACUAUGAUGAAAGGGAUUAGGAUAGUAUAUUAAAAAGUGAACUAUGGGAAGUUUUUGAAGAUCAGAAUGACGAUAUUAUUCCUGCAUUAAGAAUUAGCUAUCAUUAUAUUCCUUCAAAUCUAAAGCGAUGCUCAGAAAUUGAGUCAUUUCCUGAAGGGGGUUUGCCACCAAACCUGAAAAUGCUUGACAUCCGAAGUUGCAAGAAGCUGGUCACGUACCUAGCAUCCAUGGACUUGCGUGAUCACUGUCUUACACAUCUUGACAUUGAACAUCCUUAUGAUAACAUCAAUUCCUUCCCCAUGGAUGGUUGCCUGCCGUCCUCCCUUGAGACUCUCUAUUUGCGAUGCUUUCCAAGUUUAGAAAUCUUAGACUGCAAAGGAAUUUACCAUCUCCAGGAGCUAUUGAUAGAUCAUUGUCCCAACCUGCAGGAUGUCGCAGGGAAAAGCUUUCCUGCCUCUCUAUCAAUUCUCAAAUUAUAUGGAGAUUCUUUGCUGAAGAAAUGCUGGCAGAUGAAGGACCCGCUGAUUUUGUCCAAAAUGUCCCACGUCCGCAACAUCAAUGAUGACGGACUUUGGAUUUCAUGACUCAAGAAAGUACAAUUGCUUUUUCUGUCCAUCAUCUUCAACAGUACUCUUGGAUUUCAUCGAAACUAUCCUUAUAUUCAACCAGAGUAGCUUGAAUUUCCCAGUUCAACCAUGGGCUUGAUUUAUUGCUGAACUCACAAAUGGAGCAUCAAACUCGACUAUUAUAGGAACAUGACAAUUUGAGAAGAAAGGAAAAGCUAGGAAAGUUGUCAAAUAUGGUUUAUGGAAUCAUGGUAGAAGAAAGCAACGAGGCAAAUGGGACUGCAUCGCAUGGAAGCAGCCAAAAGCAUUUUCCGGACACUUCUCGAUAUAAGAAGGAAACCUAUGUUGUUAAUUUGAUGAGGAAAUUUUAAAAGGAAAUUGUAUAUAGCCUUUUGAAGGAAUACAGACAUCAUCAUCAUCAUCAUCUAAGUUUUUAGUCCUUCAGCUUGAAGAUAGCCUUUUGAAGUCUGAAGAUAUAUCUAUUUAACACAUUAGAACAUUUCUAAAAUAUUAUUCAGCUUUAUAUAUAGUCAUGUAUGUAGCAAACUCUUGCCUUUGACCUGCAAAAUUUUGCAGCAAAAUAGCACUACCAAGAUACAUCAAAAUGCAGUGCAUUCU